AGGAUGAACGCUGGCGGUGUGCCUAAUACAUGCAAGUCGAACGAGACCUUCGGGUCGAGUGGCGGACGGGUGAGUAACACGUUGGUACCUACCCCGAAGUGGGGAAUAACUGCCCGAAAGGGUGGCUAAUACCGCAUAAUACCGCAAGGUUAAAGCGAGUAAUCGCGCUUCGGGAGGGGCCUGCGUCCCAUUAGCUAGUUGGUAGGGUAAUGGCCUACCAAGGCGACGAUGGGUAGCUGGAUCGAGAGGUUGACCAGCCACACUGGGACUGAGAUACGGCCCAGACUCCUACGGGAGGCAGCAGUAAGGAAUCUUCCACAAUGGACGAAAGUCUGAUGGAGCAACACCGCGUGCAGGAUGACGGUCUUCGGAUUUGUAAACUGCUUUUAUAUGGGAAGAUUAUGACGGUACCAUAUGAAUAAGGACCGGACUAACUACGUGCCAGCAGCCGC
rnacentral:rRNA from 1 species